UACGUAGGUGACCAGCGUUGUCCGGAUUUACUGGGCGUAAAGAGCGCGCAGGCGGUCGUUCAAGUCGAGUGUGAAAGCCCCCGGCUCAACUGGGGAGGGUCAUUCGAUACUGAUCGACUCGAAGGCAGGAGAGGGAAGCGGAAUUCCCCGGUGUAGUGGUGAAAUGCGUAGAUAUUGGGAGGAACACCAGUGGCGAAGGCGGCUCACUGGACCGGUUCUGACGCUGAGGCGCGAAAGCGUGGGGAGCAAACGGG
rnacentral:rRNA from 1 species